rnacentral:rRNA from 1 species
GAUAAACGCUGGCGGCGCACCUAAGACAUGCAAGUUGAACGGACUUAAUCGAAAUAUUUCUAUUUUGAAGCGGUUAGUGGCGGACUGGUGAGUAACGCGUAAGGAACCUGCCUAUUAGAGGGGAAUAACAGUGAGAAAUCAUUGCUAAUACCGCAUAUGCCAUAGAUAUCACAUGAUAACAGUGGGAAAGGAGCAAUCCGCUAAUAGAUGGCCUUGCGUCUGAUUAGAUAGUUGGUGGGGUAACGGCCUACCAAGUCGACGAUCAGUAGCCGGACUGAGAGGGUGGACGGGCAAAUUGGGAAUGAGGUACGGCCCAGACUCCUUCGGGAAGGAGCAGGCGGGAAUAAUGGGCAAUGGAGGAAACUCUGACGCAGUGACGCCGCGUAUAAGAAGAAAGUUUUCGGAUUUUAAACUAUUGUCGUUAGGGAAGAGAAAGGACAGUACCUAAGGAGGAAGCUCCGGCUAACUACGUG